GCCGUUAUCGUCGGUUUUAUCGUCCAUACUAUGGUUGCAGACGAUAUAUGGAGUUAUCCACAUUUGACAGCGGUAGAUGAUAGAAGACAAUUUGCAUAACAUGGUCGUUGGAUAAGAUGUGGAUAAUUUGACAGAUUGUCCCAUUUUGACAGUUCAACUUAGUUAAUUUUAACUACGUGCUUCUUAGAUGACGAUAAGCCUUGUCGUGAAAGCAAAAGUAGUGAAUAAUCAUAUUUUAAGGUAUAAAUUACAGGGAAGUCAAAUUUUAUUAUUCCUACUCGCGGCUGCUGUUGAAGAAAAAUAUCGUAAACAGCUUUAAGAAACACUUGCAGCCCAUUUGAUAUGACGGACGAAGAGUUUCGGCAUAUUUACAGAGUGCGUAAGGAGUGUGCAGUGCAUUUACUUAUGUGCCGAAUUUAACGCCGAGCUUCAAAACGGUGAUGGGUUACCUACCAAAACAUCUCAAAGGUUCUAACAGUAUACACCACACCAGCAGCACACCUACACCACCAGCAGCAGCAGCAGCUGCUGGUGUGUAACAGUUACACCUGCUAGCUGAUGGCAACUACCAACGUGGGACUAGUCAAGAUCAUGGCUUGUCCAUUGGAGCACUACUGACUGGAUUGGCCACACUACUGUAAGCCUGAACCUCAAGCAGUUUGUAGAUGCUGUAAACAGAAGAAAACGUCUCGUGGAUCAAGGGAAAAAUUAGAGAAGACGCUCCUAAAAAACUUCCUAAGCAUGCAAGCAUACACAAAACCGGCUCUUAAUAAGCUUAAUAAAUACAUAUUUCGCCUAUUACUAUGUUUUACUAUCACACAAAUACCUACCUAAUUUACCUAUAUUUCUAUACAAGUAGAGACUAGUAAACAUUCAAGACGGAUAAUCUUCACACAGAACACCAUUCCCGGGCAUGCUUCAAUGUAGGUGUCAUUUAUUCUUAUUUUUCAUUUUAGCCUUAUGCGUACAAAAUUUGUGAUAUAUAGCUUCUAAACGUAAAAUCCGACUCAUAUGCAGUAUAGUACAAUGAAAGCAUAGGUAAUAAAAACAUUUUAGGCACGUUCUUACUUAAGAGGAAAGGGAGAUGGCCGCUUCCGCUUCUCCAUACAAACGUAGUCCUCAUUUUCCUCUCUGGAUAUUGACAUUAUGGAAAAUAUUUUUACAUAAUUUAAUGUAUAUUAACCA